UGCGUAGGCGGGUUUUUAAGUCAGGGGUGAAAUCCUGGAGCUCAACUCCAGAACUGCCUUUGAUCCUGAAGAUCUUGAGUCCGGGAGAGGUGAGUGGAACUGCGAGUGUAGAGGUGAAAUUCGUAGAUAUUCGCAAGAACACCAGUGGCGAAGGCGGCUCACUGGCCCGGUACUGACGCUGAGGCACGAAAGCGUGGGGAGCAAACA
rnacentral:rRNA from 1 species